UACGUAGGGUGCGAGCGUUGUCCGGAAUUAUUGGGCGUAAAGAGCUCGUAGGCGGUUUGUCGCGUCUGCUGUGAAAACCCGAGGCUCAACCUCGGGCCUGCAGUGGGUACGGGCAGACUAGAGUGCGGUAGGGGAGAUUGGAAUUCCUGGUGUAGCGGUGGAAUGCGCAGAUAUCAGGAGGAACACCGGAUGGCGAAGGCAGAUCUCUGGGCCGUAACUGGACGCUGAGGAGCGAAAGCAUGGGGAGCGAACAGG
rnacentral:rRNA from 1 species